GACGAACGCUGGCGGCGUGCUUAACACAUGCAAGUCGAACGGAAAGGCCCUUCGGGGUACUCGAGUGGCGAACGGGUGAGUAACACGUGGGUGAUCUGCCCUGCACUUUGGGAUAAGCCUGGGAAACUGGGUCUAAUACCGAAUAGGACCACGCGCUUCAUGGUGUGUGGUGGAAAGCUUUUGCGGUGUGGGAUGGGCCCGCGGCCUAUCAGCUUGUUGGUGGGGUAAUGGCCUACCAAGGCGACGACGGGUAGCCGGCCUGAGAGGGUGACCGGCCACACUGGGACUGAGGUACGGCCCAGACGCCUACGGGAGGCAGCGGUGGGGAAUAUUGCACAAUGGGCGCAAGCCGGAUGCAGCGACUCCGCGUGAGGGAUGACGGCCUGCGGGUUGUAAACCUCUUGCAAUAGGGACGAAGCGCAAGUGACGGUACCUAUAGAAGAAGCACCGGCUAACUACGUG
rnacentral:rRNA from 1 species